GGAGCCGUAGAAUCCGGAACGCUAGUUUCGGAGGAGGCGCAAGUGGGAUACUACCCUCGUUGUAUGAACCCUCUAACCCGCGCCACUAAUCGUGGCGGGAGACAGUGUCUGGUGGGCAGUUUGACUGGGGCGGUCGCCUCCUAAAAGGUAACGGAGGCGCCCAAAGGUUCCCUCAGAAUGGUUGGAAAUCAUUCGCAGAGUGUAAAGGCAGAAGGGAGCUUGACUGCGAGACAGACAGGUCGAGCAGGGACGAAAGUCGGGCUUAGUGAUCCGGUGGUUCCGUAUGGAAGGGCCAUCGCUCAACGGAUAAAAGCUACCCUGGG
rnacentral:rRNA from 1 species